rnacentral:rRNA from 1 species
UACAGAGGGUGCAAGCGUUGUUCGGAAUUAUUGGGCGUAAAGCGCGUGUAGGCGGCUUGUUAAGUCGGGUGUGAAAGCCCUCAGCUCAACUGAGGAAGGGCGCCCGAAACUGGCGAGCUUGAGUGUCGGAGAGGAUGGCGGAAUACCCCAAGUAGAGGUGAAAUUCGUAGAUAUGGGGUGGAACACCGGUGGCGAAGGUGGCCAUCUGGACGACAACUGACGCUGAGACGCGAAAGCGUGGGGAGCAAACAGG